rnacentral:rRNA from 1 species
GAUGAACGCUGGCGGCGUGCCUAAUACAUGCAAGUCGAGCGAAUAGAUGAGGAGCUUGCUCCUCUGACGUUAGCGGCGGACGGGUGAGUAACACGUGGAUAACCUACCUAUAAGACUGGGAUAACUUCGGGAAACCGGAGCUAAUACCGGAUAAUAUAUUGAACCGCAUGGUUCAAUAGUGAAAGACGGUUUUGCUGUCACUUAUAGAUGGAUCCGCGCCGCAUUAGCUAGUUGGUAAGGUAACGGCUUACCAAGGCAACGAUGCGUAGCCGACCUGAGAGGGUGAUCGGCCCCACGGGAUCUGAGACCCGGUCCAGAGUCCUACGGGAGGAAGCAGUAGGGAAUCUUCCGCAAUGGGCGAAAGCCUGACGGAGCAACGCCGCGUGAGUGAUGAAGGUCUUCGGAUGGUAAAACUCUGUUAUUAGGGAAGAACAAAUGUGUAAGUAACUAUGCACGUCUUGACGGUACCUACUGAGAAAGCCACGGCUAACUACGUG